rnacentral:tRNA from 1 species
UACUUUGUGGCUUAAUUAGCUAAAGCGCUGGACUAACGAUACGGAAUCGUGGGUUUGAAACCCACAAAAACAA